rnacentral:rRNA from 1 species
CCUACGGGAUGCACCAGUGGGGAAUAUUGGACAAUGGGCGAAAGCCUGAUCCAGCAAUGCCGCGUGUGUGAAGAAGGUCUUCGGAUUGUAAAGCACUUUCGACGGGGACGAUGAUGACGGUACCCGUAGAAGAAGCCCCGGCUAACUUCGUGCCAGCAGCCGCGGUAAUACGAAGGGGGCUAGCGUUGCUCGGAAUGACUGGGCGUAAAGGGCGCGUAGGCGGUUUAUGCAGUCAGAUGUGAAAUCCCCGGGCUUAACCUGGGAACUGCAUUUGAGACGCAUAGACUAGAGGUCGAGAGAGGGUUGUUGAAUUCCCAGUGUAGAGGUGAAAUUCGCAGAUAUUGGGAAGAACACCGGUGGCGAAGGCGGCAACCUGGCUCGAUACUGACGCUGAGGCGCGAAAGCGUGGGGAGCCAACAGGAUUAGAUACCCCUGUAG